UACGUAGGUGGCAAGCGUUGUCCGGAUUUACUGGGUGUAAAGGGCGUGCAGCCGGGCUGACAAGUCAGAUGUGAAAUCCCGCGGCUCAACCGCGGAACUGCAUUUGAAACUGUCAGUCUUGAGUACCGGAGAGGUCAUCGGAAUUCCUUGUGUAGCGGUGGAAUGCGUAGAUAUAAGGAAGAACACCAGUGGCGAAGGCGGAUGACUGGACGGCAACUGACGGUGAGGCACGAAAGCGUGGGGAGCAAACAGG
rnacentral:rRNA from 1 species